rnacentral:lncRNA from 1 species
UAAGAUUUUUAAUUCUCCUCUACUUCCUCUCCAUUAAUCACCUUUAAUCCCUCUUUUAAUCCCUUUUCCUCUGAGAUCUUUUACUCUAAUUUCUCUCUUUCUCCGAUCGACGCAUUUAUUUUGCCGGGAACUCUGCGAGCGUCCUGUGGUUUUUGGUUCUUCUUCCGUCGAGACGACGCCAAGUUCUUGGAAUAAUACGUGAAGCGGCGGAAGAAUCCUUGGACUAUUGUAUCAUAAUUGACCGUUAACAGUUAUGCUGCACUGAAUUACAGGCAGGCCUGAGAAUUUUUCUAUGUGCUCUGUGUGAAAAAUUCCAGUGGAAAAUAUUGAUGAAAUUGCAAACGUCAUUUUGAUCCAUGAAUGAAAAAUAGCUUCUUGGCCGAGCGUUUUCAAUACAUUCAUUUGAACGAAGGCCAUAAGGCGGCACUUCUAUUUGUACGUAUCAAAUGACACCGGAAAUAAACGGAUUCCAAACUAUCGCCGUGAAACUUAGGAGCGAAAGUGAUUUACAACUGAUAAAUAUUUAUCGGCAGCUGGCGAAUUCUGCUUCGGUAAAAAGAUAAUGACUUUGACCCAGUGAAGUCAUCGAUGCUUUUUUUUACUUCCUCGGAAAAUUGAAAGUGGCAAUCCACCAAUGAUUAUGAGUUGCUCUCAAAAGACAGUUACUCAACGAGAUUCUGUUAGGCUUUUGUGGUAUUGCAAGGAGCGGACGACCACUCACGUCAAAACCGUCUUUAAAGCGACGAAAUUAAUAUUGGCAGAUAUUGCGGAACACAAUAUUUUCCCCAAGAACAGAGAAAAUGGAUUCAUAUACUUUAACAGCAUUUUUUCUUUGCUAAAAUUCAUAUCGAAUGCAG